rnacentral:tRNA from 1 species
GCGGGAAUAGCUCAGCCGGUAGAGCGCAGCCCCUCCAGGGUUGAGGGAUGAGUUCGAGACUCGUUUCCCGCU